rnacentral:lncRNA from 1 species
AUUUUCUUAAGAAUUUAACAGAAUAAGCUUUAUUUUUUUUAUUUUUAAAGAUAAAGGAAAAAGCUAAAAAAAUUAAAAGAAAACAAAAAUUAAGAUACCCCAUCCAUAUCAAAUUAAUAAAUGGCGAUGGAUGUUAAGUGAUGACAAUAGCUCACAUUCCUCUUAAGACAGGUGAGCUUUACAUAAAUUAUCACUUUGUGUGCGUCAUUCAUUUGUUGGGAAAUAUCGAAAAAUACUUAAGACAUUUUUCCAAGGUAAUCUUCUCAAAUUUCACAGCACAUGGUAAACUUAAAACUUUAUAAAUGUUUAGGAAUUUUCUCAACUAUUUGAAUUUUGAUUCUUAAAAAUAAGAUAGAUUUUUUUCUGAAAAUGUUUUGAAAUGAAUGGAUGAACACAUGCU